CCGUUGCUUCUUGCAGAAACUAUUGGUAGCGUCUCUCUGACUGUUGGCUUCCCCGGUCUGUCGCUGGUCCUCUUAAAGGCCGGCGGGAAGCCCGCUGAGCCCAGAAUAACCCGAUUCUCCUCCGAGCCUUUCUUUAUCGCCUCUUUGUUUUUUUCCCUGGGCCUUUUCCCCCUUGAGUCAUUUUUCCCUCAUUGUGUUUAUUCCUGAAAUGUCCUUCACUCACAUCCACCUCGCC